rnacentral:tRNA from 1 species
GCGGAUGUGGUGGAACGGUAGACACGCCAUCUUGAGGUGGUGGUAAGCUACGCUUGUGCGGGUUCAAGUCCCGCCAUCCGCACCA